UGGGCCAACGGAGAUAGAAUAGAGCAGGACCAUUUACAAAUAGCCCAAUUAAUAAUUCAGCUUAAGUGAGGAGUAUUAAUACGCAGAAGAAGGAAGGAAGAAUGAGACUAAUUCUGGUAUAACAAUGGCGUCAAUGUUGUUCGAUUAUAGAAAUACAUUGUAACAAUCUCAAUUCUAUUACAAAUCAAUAAAGAAAUCCUAUUCUUUCCAUUAUUUCUUUCAAAUUCUAUUACAAAAUUCUAGUAUAUUACACAUCUCUAGUGGUCUAAAAUUCAAUCUCGUACGGAUUUGAUACGA